ensembl:lncRNA
CUGCUGGAGAAAUGCAGCUGCUUUAUGCAGAGGGUCCUGUCACCAGGAACGUUUUUCGUAGAUCUCUAUGACUUAAGGAGAUGCUGAGAUAAAGUAUCUGAUCAUAUUGCAAAGACACAGGAAACUCAGGUUUCCACCCCUUUGACAAAACCAGGUGGUGCCAAUGUGUUUUUCCCAAUGCCCAGUAACGUGUUCAAAACUCGCUGAAAUUAUGGAACACUGGAUUUGUUUCUCAUCUGAUGAUUUUAGAAGCAAAAGAAAGAGGAUGCUCAGAAACAACUUCCAUGAUCGCCAGAACUUUUUCUUGAGAAAUCCCCAUGCUGCAUGAAGCACAUUGUAGGGACUCUGGGAGGAGGCACGGGAAGAGAAAUAGCCUUCUGAGGGAGUGAUAAUUAAUCUGACAGGCCAUUUGGUAUCCAGUGGUGAAAGCAAACUUCACCAAUUAAUCAGGCUGACAUUCAGAGGUCGUUUUCCAGCUAUUCAUACAUCUUUGCAUUUCUGGGCAUGAAGGUGAGAAAAUAGUGAUAAAGUUGAAUAUCAUGACUUCCUCCUUAGCACUGACCCACACUGAAACAUGCUGCUUAAAGACUGUCACUUGUUCUGACAGUAAUUUAAAUUGAAGAACAGACAGUAGGUGGUACUGCUUGUGUUGGUUCAUUCCUGCCUACACAGUCUGUUUUCUACUGGAGGAAGCUCUCAGAAGAUCAGCAUUUCAUCAGAAAACACAAUCAUAGUCAGGUAGUCAUGGCGCUCAGUGUCUAAGCAAUCGAAGCGAAUCAUGAAUAUCAAAGCCUGAAACAUCUACAUUAAAAUUUGGAAAAUUCAUGUGCUCAUUUUUGGUUAUAGAACUGUCACCUAGAGCAUAGAUCUGGACUAUAUGGAUUACUUUUUAUCAUUUAACCAUAAAUGAGUCAAGCUGGAGGGGACUUCAGGAAGUAACUGGUCCAACCUGCUACUCAAAGAAAGGGCAGUUCUGGAAUCAGACCCAGCUGCUAAGGGUGUGACCCAAUUGGAUCCCCAAAACCUCCAAGGAUGGAGAUGACAUAACUUUACAGUAUAAUCUUUUCUAAUCCUUUAUUAUACUCUCAGGGAAAAAUAUUUUUCCUAAUACCUAGUAGAAACCACACUUAUUCGACUUAUGACCAGUGUAUCUCACCUUGCCACACCAUACAGUACUGUGAAAAACCCUGUCUGUGUCUGUCUCUUUGCCUCAGACUGGCCAAAGCCUGCUCCUAAGACUUCUCCUUCCAGGGCAAGUGUUCCAGAUCUGGGAGUUUCAUUGACCUCAUUCCUGUUUUUUGAUGCUUUUUUCUCUACUGCAGACCUCAAAACUGGAUGCUGUAAUGCAAGCAUGGCCUGAUGAGUUCCAAGUAAAAGAUAAUAAGUUUUCUCCUUCUGUGCUACUGUGGGCACAACCCAGCUUGAUAUCAGAUUUAACCACUGCCACAGGGCACUGCUUGCUCAUUUUUACAAGUUGCUCACCAGUGCCUUUCCCACAUUGCUGCUGUAUGGCCAGGCAGACAGAUCACACCCAGGAGACUAGUCCUUCCCAGAACUGUGGGACUUCUCUUCUGUGGGUCUGCUGUCUUGCCAAAUUCUAUGUCAGUCAUCUUAUUCCAUAAAUAGUGAGCAACCCUUGAGCUCUAAUCCUUGUAACAAGACUGCAUGUCACCUCCUCAACUCCUUCUAAAUAUUGUGACACUUGAGUGACUGUAAACUUGGGGUAGAUUGUGUGGAAUAGUUACUGGAUGUGACCUAUCAACAGUUCCACUUCUUGAAAGAAGUGGAACACCUGCAGAGUGGAAUGUGGUGGAUAAUCCAUUCCAUGAUAUUUCCCUAAGAAACAUAAGACUUAAAAAAACCUUAGAUUGUUAGCAACACCAUGGGAGUCUAGUAUAUUGGCCCUAAGAAACAGCACACAGAGGAGAAUGGAACAGAGUGUAAAUAUACAUAAGGCCAAAUUAUGUGAUCAUCCUGCAGGAAUGGGGACUUGAUGACACUAUCAGAACUGAUAACCUGCCUGAGCCAGCAGUUUUCCACGUUUCUUUCAAAAACAUGCUCCCUGAGUAAACUUUACAAAAGUGAAUAGAGUCACUCAAGCUCCUCCUAGAGGUAACAAAAUAGUAUAAAAAUGGCAUAAAAGAGAAGGAAAUUUGGGGAAGAUACCAUCACAAAUCAGUCAGGAGGUCACCACCAACUUCUGGGACCCGUUGAUGGGCUGAGCCUCCCUCCCCCCUCACAGCGAUGUCUCUUGGGUGAGAUCUGAACACUUGGUUAUCACGAGUGCUUACCCUGGGAAACUUAGAAAUCUCUGUGGUGUUAUUCCAUGAUUUAAAACAAUUUAACACAAUUGUAGCAUGUAUUACUCAUGCUCUUGGUUAACCUCAUGUGUUUUACAGACAGUGCAUUUAUUGACAGCAAUCCAAAAGAAUCUGUAAUCUGUUGUUUCAAUAAACUGCACUAUUC